UACGAAGGGGGCGAGCGUUGUUCGGAUUUACUGGGCGUAAAGGGCGCGCAGGCGGUUCUGUUUGUCGAGUGUGAAAGCCCCGGGCUCAACCUGGGAACUGCGCUCGAAACGGCGGAACUAGAGUUCGGGAGAGGAGAGUGGAAUUCCCGGUGUAGCAGUGAAAUGCGUAGAGAUCGGGAGGAACACCAGUGGCGAAGGCGGCUACCUGGACCAGCACUGACACUGAGGCACGAAAGCGUGGGGAGCAAACAGG
rnacentral:rRNA from 1 species